rnacentral:tRNA from 1 species
GGUGAGGUGGCUGAGUGGUCGAAAGCAACGCUUUGCUAAAGCGUCGUACUCCAAAAGGGUACCGAGGGUUCGAAUCCCUCCCUCACCG